ACGAUGAAGCUUCUAGCUUGCUAGAAGUGGAUUAGUGGCGCACGGGUGAGUAAGGUAUAGUUAAUCUGCCCUACACAAGAGGACAACAGUUGGAAACGACUGCUAAUACUCUAUACUCCUGCUUAACACAAGUUGAGUAGGGAAAGUUUUUCGGUGUAGGAUGAGACUAUAUAGUAUCAGCUAGUUGGUGAGGUAAUGGCUCACCAAGGCUAUGACGCUUAACUGGUCUGAGAGGAUGAUCAGUCACACUGGAACUGAGACACGGUCCAGACUCCUACGGGAGGCAGCAGUAGGGAAUAUUGCGCAAUGGGGGAAACCCUGACGCAGCAACGCCGCGUGGAGGAUGACACUUUUCGGAGCGUAAACUCCUUUUCUUAGGGAAGAAUUCUGACGGUACCUAAGGAAUAAGCACCGGCUAACUCCGUGCCAGCAGCCGCGGUAAUACGGAGGGUGCAAGCGUUACUCGGAAUCACUGGGCGUAAAGGGCGCGUAGGCGGAUUAUCAAGUCUCUUGUGAAAUCUAAUGGCUUAACCAUUAAACUGCUUGGGAAACUGAUAGUCUAGAGUGAGGGAGAGGCAGAUGGAAUUGGUGGUGUAGGGGUAAAAUCCGUAGAUAUCACCAAGAAUACCCAUUGCGAAGGCGAUCUGCUGGAACUCAACUGACGCUAAGGCGCGAAAGCGUGGGGAGCAAACAGGAUUAGAUACCCUGGUAGUCCACGCCCUAAACGAUGUACACUAGUUGUUGGGGUGCUAGUCAUCUCAGUAAUGCAGCUAACGCAUUAAGUGUACCGCCUGGGGAGUACGGUCGCAAGAUUAAAACUCAAAGGAAUAGACGGGGACCCGCACAAGCGGUGGAGCAUGUGGUUUAAUUCGAGGAUACGCGAAGAACCUUACCUGGGCUUGAUAUCCUAAGAACCUUUUAGAGAUAAGAGGGUGCUAGCUUGCUAGAACUUAGAGACAGGUGCUGCACGGCUGUCGUCAGCUCGUGUCGUGAGAUGUUGGGUUAAGUCCCGCAACGAGCGCAACCCACGUAUUUAGUUGCUAACGGUUCGGCCGAGCACUCUAAAUAGACUGCCUUCGUAAGGAGGAGGAAGGUGUGGACGACGUCAAGUCAUCAUGGCCCUUAUGCCCAGGGCGACACACGUGCUACAAUGGCAUAUACAAUGAGACGCAAUACCGCGAGGUGGAGCAAAUCUAUAAAAUAUGUCCCAGUUCGGAUUGUUCUCUGCAACUCGAGAGCAUGAAGCCGGAAUCGCUAGUAAUCGUAGAUCAGCCAUGCUACGGUGAAUACGUUCCCGGGUCUUGUACUCACCGCCCGUCACACCAUGGGAGUUGA
rnacentral:rRNA from 1 species